rnacentral:rRNA from 1 species
UGCAAGUCGAACGCACUUUCGUUAAUUGAUUUUGAGAUGCUUGCAUCGAAGAUGAUUUUAACUAUAAAGUGAGUGGCGAACGGGUGAGUAACACGUGGGUAACCUGCCCAGAAGUGGGGGAUAACACCUGGAAACAGAUGCUAAUACCGCAUAACAAAAUUAACCGCAUGGUUGAUUUUUAAAAGAUGGCUUCGGCUAUCACUUCUGGAUGGACCCGCGGCGUAUUAGCUAGUUGGUGAGAUAAAGGCUCACCAAGGCAGUGAUACGUAGCCGACCUGAGAGGGUAAUCGGCCACAUUGGGACUGAGACACGGCCCAGACUCCUACGGGAGGCAGCAGUAGGGAAUCUUCCACAAUGGACGCAAGUCUGAUGGAGCAACGCCGCGUGAGUGAUGAAGGCUUUCGGGUCGUAAAACUCUGUUGUUGGAGAAGAACGUGUGUGAGAGUAACUGCUCAUGCAGUGACGGUAUCCAACCAGAAAGCCACGGCUAACUACGUGCCAGCAGCCGCGGUAAUACGUAGGUGGCAAGCGUUAUCCGGAUUUAUUGGGCGUAAAGCGAGCGCAGGCGGUCUUUUAAGUCUAAUGUGAAAGCCUUCGGCUUAACCGAAGAAGUGCAUUGGAAACUGGGAGACUUGAGUGCAGAAGAGGAGAGUGGAACUCCAUGUGUAGCGGUGAAAUGCGUAGAUAUAUGGAAGAAUACCAGUCGCGAAGGCGGCUCUCUGGUCUGCAACUGACGCUGAGGCUCGAAAGCAUGGGUAGCGAACAGGAUUAGAUACCCGGGUAGUCCAUGCCGUCAACGAUGAAUGCUAAGUGUUGGAGGGUUUCCGCGCUUCAGUGCUGCAGCUAACGCA